AUUGAACGCUGGCGGCAUGCUUUACACAUGCAAGUCGAACGGUAACAGGUUAAGCUGACGAGUGGCGAACGGGUGAGUAAUGCAUCGGAACGUGCCCGGUCGUGGGGGAUAACGCAGCGAAAGCUGCGCUAAUACCGCAUACGAUCUGAGGAUGAAAGCGGGGGACCGUAAGGCCUCGCGCGAUCGGAGCGGCCGAUGUCAGAUUAGGUAGUUGGUGGGGUAAAGGCUCACCAAGCCGACGAUCUGUAGCUGGUCUGAGAGGACGACCAGCGACACUGGGACUGAGACACGGCCCAGACUCCUACGGGAGGCAGCUGUGGGGAAUUUUGGACAAUGGGCGCAAGACUGAUCCAGCAAUGCCGCGUGCGGGAAGAAGGCCUUCGGGUUGUAAACUGCUUUUGUACGGAGCGAAAAGGCUCUCUCUAAUACAGGGGGCUCAUGACGGUACCGUAAGAAUAAGCACCGGCUAACUACGUGCCAGCCGCCGCGGUAA
rnacentral:rRNA from 1 species